AGCAUCUGGACGCUGGACCCUGCUCAGAGUGUCCUGGAUAUGAGCUGCCCAUCCAAAAAAUGAGGGUGCUGGGGAUUAAACCCAAGGCCUGUGAAUGAUAAGCACACACUGUACCACCCAGCUGCACCCUAACCCCUAGGACUGCUUUGUGGUGCAAUAUACCACUUUUUCUUCACUAGAUAAAGAAAUUUCACCUGGAUUUAACAGAAAGGAGGAUCCGAAGUCUGGCUUCAAUGAACAUGAUUUGGAAUACUCAGUGAGUGUGUCCCGC
rnacentral:tRNA from 1 species